GACGAACGCUGGCGGCGUGCUUAACACAUGCAAGUCGAACGGAAAGGCCCUGCUUUUGUGGGGUGCUCGAGUGGCGAACGGGUGAGUAACACGUGAGUAACCUGCCCUUGACUUUGGGAUAACUUCAGGAAACUGGGGCUAAUACCGGAUAGGAGCUCCUGCUGCAUGGUGGGGGUUGGAAAGUUUCGGCGGUUGGGGAUGGACUCGCGGCUUAUCAGCUUGUUGGUGGGGUAGUGGCUUACCAAGGCUUUGACGGGUAGCCGGCCUGAGAGGGUGACCGGCCACAUUGGGACUGAGAUACGGCCCAGACUCCUACGGGGGGCAGCAGUGGGGAAUAUUGCACAAUGGGCGGAAGCCUGAUGCAGCAACGCCGCGUGCGGGAUGACGGCCUUCGGGUUGUAAACCGCUUUCGCCUGUGACGAAGCGUGAGUGACGGUAAUGGGUAAAGAAGCGCCGGCUAACUACGUG
rnacentral:rRNA from 1 species